rnacentral:rRNA from 1 species
GUACACAAAAAUGCACAUAUUGUGAGCUCGAUGAGUAGGGCGGGACACGUGGUAUCCUGUCUGAAUAUGGGGGGACCAUCCUCCAAGGCUAAAUACUCCUGACUGACCGAUAGUGAACCAGUACCGUGAGGGAAAGGCGAAAAGAACCCCGGCGAGGGGAGUGAAAAAGAACCUGAAACCGUGUACGUACAAGCAGUGGGAGCCUCUUUAUGGGGUGACUGCGUACCUUUUGUAUAAUGGGUCAGCGACUUAUAUUCUGUAGCAAGGUUAACCGAAUAGGGGAGCCGAAGGGAAACCGAGUCUUAACUGGGCGUUAAGUUGCAGGGUAUAGACCCGAAACCCGGUGAUCUAGCCAUGGGCAGGUUGAAGGUUGGGUAACACUAACUGGAGGACCGAACCGACUAAUGUUGAAAAAUUAGCGGAUGACUUGUGGCUGGGGGUGAAAGGCCAAUCAAACCGGGAGAUAGCUGGUUCUCCCCGAAAGCUAUUUAGGUAGCGCCUCGUGAAUUCAUCUCCGGGGGUAGAGCACUGUUUCGGCAAGGGGGUCAUCCCGACUUACCAACCCGAUGCAAACUGCGAAUACCGGAGAAUGUUAUCACGGGAGACACACGGCGGGUGCUAACGUCCGUCGUGAAGAGGGAAACAACCCAGACCGCCAGCUAAGGUCCCAAAGUCAUGGUUAAGUGGGAAACGAUGUGGGAAGGCCCAGACAGCCAGGAUGUUGGCUUAGAAGCAGCCAUCAUUUAAAGAAAGCGUAAUAGCUCACUGGUCGAGUCGGCCUGCGCGGAAGAUGUAACGGGGCUAAACCAUGCACCGAAGCUGCGGCAGCGACACUAUGUGUUGUUGGGUAGGGGAGCGUUCUGUAAGCCUGUGAAGGUGGCCUGUGAGGGUUGCUGGAGGUAUCAGAAGUGCGAAUGCUGACAUAAGUAACGAUAAAGCGGGUGAAAAGCCCGCUCGCCGGAAGACCAAGGGUUCCUGUCCAACGUUAAUCGGGGCAGGGUGAGUCGACCCCUAAGGCGAGGCCGAAAGGCGUAGUCGAUGGGAAACAGGUUAAUAUUCCUGUACUUGGUGUUACUGCGAAGGGGGGACGGAGAAGGCUAUGUUGGCCGGGCGACGGUUGUCCCGGUUUAAGCGUGUAGGCUGGUUUUCCAGGCAAAUCCGGAAAACCAAGGCUGAGGCGUGAUGACGAGGCACUACGGUGCUGAAGCGACAAAUGCCCUGCUUCCAGGAAAAGCCUCUAAGCAUCAGGUAACAUCAAAUCGUACCCCAAACCGACACAGGUGGUCAGGUAGAGAAUACCAAGGCGCUUGAGAGAACUCGGGUGAAGGAACUAGGCAAAAUGGUGCCGUAACUUCGGGAGAAGGCACGCUGAUAUGUAGGUGAAGCGACUUGCUCGUGGAGCUGAAAUCAGUCGAAGAUACCAGCUGGCUGCAACUGUUUAUUAAAAACACAGCACUGUGCAAACACGAAAGUGGACGUAUACGGUGUGACGCCUGCCCGGUGCCGGAAGGUUAAUUGAUGGGGUUAGCGGUAACGCGAAGCUCUUGAUCGAAGCCCCGGUAAACGGCGGCCGUAACUAUAACGGUCCUAAGGUAGCGAAAUUCCUUGUCGGGUAAGUUCCGACCUGCACGAAUGGCGUAAUGAUGGCCAGGCUGUCUCCACCCGAGACUCAGUGAAAUUGAACUCGCUGUGAAGAUGCAGUGUACCCGCGGCAAGACGGAAAGACCCCGUGAACCUUUACUAUAGCUUGACACUGAACAUUGAGCCUUGAUGUGUAGGAUAGGUGGGAGGCUUUGAAGUGUGGACGCCAGUCUGCAUGGAGCCGACCUUGAAAUACCACCCUUUAAUGUUUGAUGUUCUAACGUUGGCCCGUAAUCCGGGUUGCGGACAGUGUCUGGUGGGUAGUUUGACUGGGGCGGUCUCCUCCUAAAGAGUAACGGAGGAGCACGAAGGUUGGCUAAUCCUGGUCGGACAUCAGGAGGUUAGUGCAAUGGCAUAAGCCAGCUUGACUGCGAGCGUGACGGCGCGAGCAGGUGCGAAAGCAGGUCAUAGUGAUCCGGUGGUUCUGAAUGGAAGGGCCAUCGCUCAACGGAUAAAAGGUACUCCGGGGAUAACAGGCUGAUACCGCCCAAGAGUUCAUAUCGACGGCGGUGUUUGGCACCUCGAUGUCGGCUCAUCACAUCCUGGGGCUGAAGUAGGUCCCAAGGGUAUGGCUGUUCGCCAUUUAAAGUGGUACGCGAGCUGGGUUUAGAACGUCGUGAGACAGUUCGGUCCCUAUCUGCCGUGGGCGCUGGAGAACUGAGGGGGGCUGCUCCUAGUACGAGAGGACCGGAGUGGACGCAUCACUGGUGUUCGGGUUGUCAUGCCAAUGGCACUGCCCGGUAGCUAAAUGCGGAAGAGAUAAGUGCUGAAAGCAUCUAAGCACGAAACUUGCCCCGAGAUGAGUUCUCCCUGACUCCUUGAGA